AACGGCUUAUUAAUGACUUACAAAUUGUUUACAACCUAAUUAAUAACCUAAUUAUAAACCAUUUAUAAACUUUUAUAAAUGGAGCCUUAUUGUGAAGUGGUACCAAAAUAUCUUCUUAUUUUUUUUUUCCCUGCCCAGACCUCAGCAUACUACCCACUAUAGAAGUGAUUCUGUCAGAUGUGGUCCAGAGGAUGGCAAUAAUGAUCUGGAUAGGGGGAAUGAUGAGCGUCUCCCUACCAU